AUUGAACGCUGGCGGCAGGCCUAACACAUGCAAGUCGAACGAGUGGCGGACGGGUGAGUAAUGUCUGGGAAACUGCCCGAUGGAGGGGGAUAACUACUGGAAACGGUCGCUAAUCCCGCAUACCAUCGGAUGUGCCCAGAUGGGAUUAGCUAGUAGGUGGGGUAAAGGCUCACCUAGGCGACGCGCCCUAGCUGGUCUGAGAGGAGGACCAGCCACACUGGAACUUGGACACGGUCCAGACUCCUACGGGAGGCAGCAGUGGGGAAUAUUGCACAAUGGGCGCAAGCCUGAGGCAGCCAUGCCGCGUGUAUGAAGAAGGCUUUCGGGUUGUAAGGUACUUUCAGCGGGGAGGCGUUACCCGCAGAAGAAGCACCGGCUAACUCCGUGCCAGCAGCCGCGGUAAUAC
rnacentral:rRNA from 1 species